AGAUAGAAGCUUGCUUUUAUCGAAAGUGGCGCACGGGUGCGUAACGCGUAUGCAACCUACCUUCAUCUGGGGGAUAGCCCGGAGAAAUCCGGAUUAAUACCGCAUAAAAUCACAGCACUGCAUAGUGCAAUGAUCAAACAUUUAUGGGAAGAAGAUGGGCAUGCGUGUCAUUAGCUAGUUGGCGGGGUAACGGCCCACCAAGGCGACGAUGACUAGGGGAUCUGAGAGGAUGGCCCCCCACACUGGUACUGAGACACGGACCAGACUCCUACGGGAGGCAGCAGUAAGGAAUAUUGGUCAAUGGAGGCAACUCUGAACCAGCCAUGCCGCGUGCAGGAAGACUGCCCUAUGGGUUGUAAACUGCUUUUAUCCGGGAAUAAACCUUUCUACGUGUAGGAAGCUGAAUGUACCGGAAGAAUAAGGAUCGGCUAACUCCGUGCCAGCAGCCGCGGUAAU
rnacentral:rRNA from 1 species